rnacentral:rRNA from 1 species
ACGCUGGCGGCGCACAUAAGACAUGCAAGUCGAACGAACUUAAUUGAGAGCUUGCUCUCAAAGCGGUUAGUGGCGGACUGGUGAGUAAAACGUAAGCAACCUGCCUAUUAGAGGGGAAUAACAGCGAGAAAUCGUUGCUAAUACCGCAUAUGCUGUGAGUAUCGCAUGAUACAAGCAGGAAAGGAGCAAUCCGCUAAUAGAUGGGCUUGCGUCUGAUUAGUUAGUUGGUGGGGUAACGGCCUACCAAGACGAUGAUCAGUAGCCGGACUGAGAGGUUGAACGGCCACAUUGGGACUGAGAUACGGCCCAGACUCCUACGGGAGGCAGCAGUCGGGAAUAUUGCGCAAUGGAGGAAACUCUGACGCAGUGACGCCGCGUGCAGGAAGAAGGUUUUCGGAUUGUAAACUGCUUUUAACAGGAAAGAAAAAAAUGACGGUACCUGUUGAAUAAGCUCCGGCUAACUACGUGCCAGCAGCCGCGGUAAUACGUAGGGAGCGAGCGUUAUCCGGAUUUAUUGGGUGUAAAGGGUGCGUAGACGGAAAUGCAAGUUAGUUGUGAAAUACCUCGGCUUAACUGAGGAACUGCAACUAAAACUAUAUUUCUUGAGUAUCGGAGGGGUUUGUGGAAUUCCUAGUGUAGCGGUGAAAUGCGUAGAUAUUAGGAAGAACACCGGUGGCGAAGGCGACAAACUGGACGAUAACUGACGUUGAGGCACGAAAGUGUGGGGAGCAAACAGGAUUAGAUACCCUGGUAGUCCACACCGUAAACGAUGGAUACUAGGUGUUGGCAAUGAAUAAUUGUCGGUGCCGGCGCUAACGCAAUAAGUAUCCCACCUGGGGAGUACGACCGCAAGGUUGAAACUCAAAGGAAUUGACGGGGGCCCGCACAAGCAGUGGAGUAUGUGGUUUAAUUCGAAGAUA